rnacentral:tRNA from 1 species
CUGGUUCAAUCCCAGUAUCGCGCACUGCCUGUGACUCACGGGUCACAGCCCGCGGACGAUUAGCUCAGCGGG